UCCGGUUGAUCCUGCCGGACCCGACUGCUAUCAGAGUGGGACUAAGCCAUGCGAGUCAACAUAGCAAUAUGUGGCAUACGGCUCAGUAACACGUAGUCAACAUGCCCAGGGGACGUGGAUAACCUCGGGAAACUGAGGAUAAACCGCGAUAAGUCACUGCUUCUGGAAUGGGCAAUGACUUAAAUCUAUAUGGCCCCUGGAUUGGACUGCGGCCGAUCAGGCUGUUGGUGAGGUAAUGGCCCACCAAACCUGUAACCGGUACGGGCUCUGAGAGGAGGAGCCCGGAGAUGGGCACUGAGACAAGGGCCCAGGCCCUAUGGGGCGCAGCAGGCGCGAAACCUCUGCAAUAGGCGAAAGCCUGACAGGGUUACUCUGAGUGAUUUCCGUUAAGGAGAUCUUUUGGCACCUCUAAAAAUGGUGCAGAAUAAGGGGUGGGCAAGUCUGGUGUCAGCCGCCGCGGUAAUACCAGCACCCCGAGUGGUCGGGACGUUUAUUGGGCCUAAAGCAUCCGUAGCCGGUUCUGCAAGUCUUCCGUUAAAUCCACCUGCUUAACAGAUGGGCUGCGGAAGAUACUAUAGAGCUAGGAGGCGGGAGAGGCAAGCGGUACUCGAUGGGUAGGGGUAAAAUCCGUUGAUCCAUUGAAGACCACCAGUGGCGAAGGCGGCUUGCCAGAACGCGCUCGACGGUGAGGGAUGAAAGCUGGGGGAGCAAACCGGAUUAGAUACCCGGGUAGUCCCAGCUGUAAACGAUGCAGACUCGGUGAUGAAUUGGCUUUAUGCCAAUUCAGUGCCGCAGGGAAGCCGUUAAGUUUGCCGCCUGGGGAGUACGGUCGCAAGACUGAAACUUAAAGGAAUUGGCGGGGGAGCACCACAAGGGGUGAAGCCUGCGGUUCAAUUGGAGCAACGCCGGAAAUCUUACCGGGGGCGACAGCAGAAUGAAGGUCAAGCUGAAGACUUUACCAGACAAGCUGAGAGGAGGUGCAUGGCCGUCGCCAGCUCGUGCCGUGAGGUGUCCUGUUAAGUCAGGUAACGAGCGAGACCCCUGCCUCUAGUUGCUACCAUUAUUCUCAGGAGUAGUGGAGCUAAUUAGAGGGACUGCCGUCGCUGAGACGGAGGAAGGAGGGGGCUACGGCAGGUCAGUAUGCCCCGAAACCCUCGGGCCACACGCGGGCUGCAAUGGUAAAGACAAUGAGUAUCGAUUCCGAAAGGAGGAGGCAAUCUCUAAACCUUACCACAGUUAUGAUUGAGGGCUGAAACUCGCCCUCAUGAAUAUGGAAUCCCUAGUAACCGCGUGUCACUAUCGCGUGGUGAAUACGUCCCUGCUCCUUGCACACACCGCCCGUCGCUUCAUCGAAGUUGGUUCUUGGCGAGGUGAUGCCUAAUUGGUACUAUCGAACCUGGGGUCAGCAACGAGGGAG
rnacentral:rRNA from 1 species